AGUCAAGUAAUUAAGUGCAUGUGGUGGAUGCCUUGGCAGUCAGAGGCGAUGAAAGACGUGAUAGCCUGCGAAAAGCUCCGGGGAGGCGGCAAAUAUCCUUUGAUCCGGAGAUGUCUGAAUGGGGGAACCCACCUACUUUAAGGUAGGUAUUGCAACAUGAAUACAUAGUGUUGCAAGGCGAACGAGGGGAAGUGAAACAUCUCAGUACCCUUAGGAAAAGAAAUCAAUUGAGAUUCCCUCAGUAGCGGCGAGCGAACGGGGAUCAGCCCAUUAAGUUAUGUGUGUUUUAGUGGAACGCUCUGGGAAGUGCGAACGUAGAGGGUGAUAUUCCCGUACACGAAAGGGCACACAUAAUGAUGACGAGUAGGGCGAGGCACGUGAAACCUUGUCUGAAUAUGGGGGGACCAUCCUCCAAGGCUAAAUACUCCUGACUGACCGAUAGUGAACCAGUACCGUGAGGGAAAGGCGAAAAGAACCCCCCUGUGAGGGGAGUGAAAUAGAUCCUGAAACCGCAUGCAUACAAGCAGUGGGAGCACCUUCGUGGUGUGACUGCGUACCUUUUGUAUAAUGGGUCAGCGACUUAUAUUCAGUAGCGAGGUUAACCGUAUAGGGGAGCCGUAGAGAAAUCGAGUCUUAAUAGGGCGUUUAGUUGCUGGGUAUAGACCCGAAACCAGGCGAUCUAUCCAUGAGCAGGUUGAAGGUUGGGUAACACUAACUGGAGGACCGAACCCACUGUCGUUGAAAAGCCAGGGGAUGACUUGUGGAUAGGGGUGAAAGGCUAAUCAAGCCUGGUGAUAGCUGGUUCUCCCCGAAAGCUAUUUAGGUAGCGCCUCGGACGAAUACCAUAGGGGGUAGAGCACUGUUUCGGCUAGGGGGUCAUCCCGACUUACCAAACCGAUGCAAACUCCGAAUACCUAUGAGUACUAUCCGGGAGACAGACUGCGGGUGCUAACGUCCGUAGUCAAGAGGAAAACAAUCCAGACCGCCAGCUAAGGCCCCAAAAUCAUAGUUAAGUGGGAAACGAUGUGGGAAGGCAUAGACAGCUAGGAGGUUGGCUUAGAAGCAGCCACCCUUUAAAGAAAGCGUAAUAGCUCACUAGUCGAGUCGGCCUGCGCGGAAGAUGUAACGGGGCUAAAACUAUGUGCCGAAGCUGCGGAUGUAUACUUUGUAUACGUGGUAGGGGAGCGUUCUGUAAGCCGAUGAAGGUGUGUUGAGAAGCAUGCUGGAGGUAUCAGAAGUGCGAAUGCUGACGUGAGUAACGACAAAACGGGUGAAAAACCCGUUCGCCGAAAGACCAAGGGUUCCAGUCCAACGUUAAUCGGGGCUGGGUGAGUCGACCCCUAAGGCGAGGCCGAAAGGCGUAGUCGAUGGGAAAAUGGUUAAUAUUCCAUUACUUCUGUGUAAUGCGAUGAGAGGACGGAGAAGGCUAAAUCAGCCUGGCGUUGGUUGUCCAGGUGAAAGGAUGUAGGCAUGUAUCUUAGGCAAAUCCGGGGUACUCUAUGCUGAGAUCUGAUAGCAAGCUGUACUUGUACAGCGAAGUGGUUGAUGCCAUGCUUCCAGGAAAAGUCUCUAAGCUUCAGUUACACAGGAAUCGUACCCGAAACCGACACAGGUGGUCAGGUCGAGUAGACCAAGGCGCUUGAGAGAACUCUGCUGAAGGAACUAGGCAAAAUGGUACCGUAACUUCGGGAGAAGGUACGCUGUUGUUGGUGAUGGAACUCGCUUCCUGAGCUGACGACAGCCGCAGAAACCAGGCCGCUGCAACUGUUUAUUAAAAACAUAGCACUCUGCAAACACGAAAGUGGACGUAUAGGGUGUGAUGCCUGCCCGGUGCUGGAAGGUUAAUUGAUGGGGUUAGCGUAAGCGAAGCUCUUGAUCGAAGCCCCAGUAAACGGCGGCCGUAACUAUAACGGUCCUAAGGUAGCGAAAUUCCUUGUCGGGUAAGUUCCGACCUGCACGAAUGGCAUAAUGAUGGCGGCGCUGUCUCCAGCAGAGGCUCAGUGAAAUCGAAAUCGCUGUGAAGAUGCAGUGUACCCGCGGCUAGACGGAAAGACCCCGUGAACCUUUACUGCAGCUUGACACUGAACUUUGACCUUACUUGUGUAGGAUAGGUGGAGGCUUUGAAGCUGGAACGCUAGUUCCAGUGGAGCCGUCCUUGAAAUACCACCCUGGUAAUGUUGAGGUUCUAACUCUGUCCCGUGAUCCGGGACGAGGACCGUGUCUGGUGGGUAGUUUGACUGGGGCGGUCUCCUCCUAAAGAGUAACGGAGGAGUACGAAGGUGCGCUCAGCGUGGUCGGAAAUCACGCGUAGAGUAUAAAGGCAAAAGCGCGCUUAACUGCGAGACCCACAAGUCGAGCAGGUACGAAAGUAGGUCUUAGUGAUCCGGUGGUUCUGUAUGGAAGGGCCAUCGCUCAACGGAUAAAAGGUACUCUGGGGAUAACAGGCUGAUACCGCCCAAGAGUUCAUAUCGACGGCGGUGUUUGGCACCUCGAUGUCGGCUCAUCUCAUCCUGGGGCUGAAGCAGGUCCCAAGGGUAUGGCUGUUCGCCAUUUAAAGAGGUACGCGAGCUGGGUUUAGAACGUCGUGAGACAGUUCGGUCCCUAUCUACCGUGGGCGCUGGAAAUUUGAGAGGAUCUGCUCCUAGUACGAGAGGACCAGAGUGGACGAACCUCUGGUGUACCGGUUGUGACGCCAGUCGCAUCGCCGGGUAGCUAUGUUCGGAAGGGAUAACCGCUGAAAGCAUCUAAGCGGGAAGCCUACCUCAAGAUAAGAUUUCCCUAGGACUUUAUGUCCUCUAAAGAGCCGUUCGAGACUAGGACGUUGAUAGGUUGGAUGUGGAAGCAUAGUGAUAUGUGAAGCUGACCAAUACUAAUUGCUCGUGAGGCUUGACUAU
rnacentral:rRNA from 1 species